rnacentral:rRNA from 1 species
GAUGAACGCUAGCUGGAGGCUUAAUACAUGCAAGUCGAGCGGGAUUGGUAGCAAUACCAUGAGAGCGGCGCACGGGUGAGUAACGCGUACACGACCUACCUCUGACAGGGGGAUAGCCCUGGGAAACUGGGAUUAAUACCGUAUAUUAUUCUGAUUAAUAAAGGAUUGGAAUGAAAGUUCAGGCGGUCAGAGAUGGGUGUGCGUCUGAUUAGCUAGUUGGUGGGGUAACGGCCUACCAAGGCGAUGAUCAGUAGGGGGCGUGAGAGCGGGGUCCCCCACACGGGUACUGAGACACGGACCCGACUCCGACGGGAGGCAGCAGUAAGGAAGAUUGGACAAUGGCCGCAAGGCUGAUCCAGCCAUCCAGCGUGCAGGAAGAAGGCCCUAUGGGUUGUAAACUGCUUUUAUCAGGGAAGAAACCUCUGGAUUUACUCCGGAGCUGACGGUACCUGAAGAAUAAGCACCGGCUAACUCCGUGCCAGCAGCCGCCGUAA